CUGGCUCAGGAUAAACGCUGGCGGCGUGCUUAACACAUGCAAGUUGGACGGGAAUACUCGAGGAAGAGACUUCGGUUAAUUUUUUGGGUAUGAGAGUAGCGGACGGGUGAGUAAUACAUAAGAAUCUAUCCAUCAGAGGGGGACAACUGCGGGAAACCGGAGCUAAUACCCCGUAAGCCGGAAGGUGAAAGGGAGCAAUCCGCUGAUGGAGGAGCUUGUGUCCUAUCAGGUAGUUGGUGAGGUAAGAGCUCACCAAGCCGAAGACGGGUAGCCGGGCUGAGAGGUUGUACGGCCACAUUGGAACUGAGAGACGGUCCAGACUCCUACGGGAGGCAGCAGUGGGGAAUAUUGGGCAAUGGGCGAAAGCCUGACCCAGCGACGCCGCGUGAGGGAAGACGGCCUUCGGGUUGUAAACCUCUGUUGCAGGGGAAGAAGGAAGUGACGGUACCCUGCGAGGAAGCUCCGGCAAACUACGUGCCAGCAGCCGCGGUAAUACGUAGGGAGCGAGCGUUAUCCGGAAUUACUGGGCGUAAAGGGCGCGUAGGCGGAAUGACAAGUCAGCAAGUGAAAGCGUGGGGCUCAACCCCAUGAUGCGGCUGAAACUGUUAUUCUAGAGGCAUGGAGAGGCAAACGGAAUUCCCGGUGUAGCGGUGAAAUGCGUAGAUAUCGGGAAGAACACCAGUGGCGAAGGCGGUUUGCUGGCCAUGAACUGACGCUCAUAGCGCGAAAGCUAGGGUAGCAAACGGGAUUAGAUACCCCGGUAGUCCUAGCAGUAAACGAUGUAUGCUGGGUGUGGGUGUAGCGAUACAUCCGUGCCGAAGUUAACGCGAUAAGCAUACCGCCUGGGGAGUACGGUCGCAAGAUUGAAACUCAAAGGAAUUGACGGGGGCCCGCACAAGCGGUGGAGCACGUGG
rnacentral:rRNA from 1 species